rnacentral:rRNA from 1 species
GAUGAACGCUGGCGGCGUGCCUAAUACAUGCAAGUAGAACGCUGAAGGAGGAGCUUGCUCUUCUGGAUGAGUUGCGAACGGGUGAGUAACGCGUAGGUAACCUGCCUGGUAGCGGGGGAUAACUAUUGGAAACGAUAGCUAAUACCGCAUGACAACAGUUAUUGCAUGAUAACUGUUUAAAAGGGGCAACUGCUCCACUACCAGAUGGACCUGCGUUGUAUUAGCUAGUUGGUGAGGUAACGGCUCACCAAGGCGACGAUACAUAGCCGACCUGAGAGGGUGGACGACGAAACAGGGACUGAGACACAACCGAGGCUCCGACGAGAGACAGCAGUAGGGAAUGUGCAGCAAUUGACGGAAGUGUGACCGAGCAACGCCACGAGAGUGAAGAAGGUUUUCGGAUCAUAAAGCUCUGUGGUAAGAGAAGAACGAGUGGGAGAGUGGAAAGAUCACACUGUGACGGUAUCUUACCAGAAAAGGACGGCUAACCACGCG